GUGCGCACUUCAGCAGCAUACAUACUAAAACUGGAACGAUACAGAGAUUAGCAUGACUCCUGCAUAAGGAUGACAUGCAAAUUCGUGAAGCGUUCCAUAUUUUA